AUUCCAGCUCCAAUAGCGUAUAUUAGAGUUGUUGCAGUUAAAAAGCUCGUAGUUGAAUUUCUGUACAGUCCCGGUUCUGGCUUCGGUCAAGCCGUGGAUUGUGCAUCCGCUUGCAAAUCUAGCUCGGCCUUCACUGGUCGACUAGGGGAGUAAGCCCUUUACUUUGAAAAAAUUAGAGUGUUUCAGGCAGGCAAUGGCUCGAAUACAUUAGCAUGGAAUAAUGGAAUAGGACUUUUGUCCAUUUGGUUGGUUAUUGGACAUAAGUAAUGAUUAAAAGGGACAGUUGGGGGCAUUAGUAUUUAAUAGCUAGAGGUGGAAUUCUCUAAUUUGAUAAAGACUAACUUAUGCGAAAGCAUUUGCCAAGGAUGUUUUCAUCA
rnacentral:rRNA from 1 species